AGGAUUAGAUACCCGGGUAGUCCCAGCUGUAAACGAUGCGAGCUAGGUGUUGGAGCAACUACGAGUUGUUCCAGUGCCGCAGAGAAGUUGUUAAGCUCGCCGCCUGGGAAGUACGGCCGCAAGGCUGAAACUUAAAGGAAUUGGCGGGGGAGCACCACAAGGGGUGAAGCUUGCGGUUUAAUUGGAGUCAACGCCGGAAAUCUCACCGGGAGCGACAGCAGUAUGAAAGCCAGAUUGAAGGUCUUGCUAGACGAGCUGAGAGGAGGUGCAUGGCCGUCGCCAGUUCGUGCCGUGAGGUGUCCUGUUAAGUCAGGCAACGAUCGAGACCCGCGUCCUCUGUUGCAACCAGCUUUGAGCUGGGCACACUGAGGAGACCGCCACUGAUAAAGUGGAGGAAGGAGCGGGCCACGGCAGGUCAGUAUGCCCCGAAUCUCCCGGGCCACACGCGAGCUGCAAUGGCAAGUACAAUGGGUUCCGACCUCGAAAGGGGGAGGCAAUCUCGAAAGCUUGCCGUAGUUGGAAUUGAGGGUUGAAACCCACCCUCAUGAACAUGGAAUCCCUAGUAAUCGCGUGUCACUAGCGCGCGGUGAAUACGUCCCUGCUCCUUGCACACACCGCCCGUCGUUCCAUCCGAGUGACUCUUGGGUGAGGCACCGUCUAAUUGGCGGCGUCGAAUCUAGGUUUCACAAGGAGGGAAAAGUCGUAACAAG
rnacentral:rRNA from 1 species